GACGAACGCUGGCGGCGUGCUUAACACAUGCAAGUCGAACGGAAAGGCCCUGCGUUUGUGGGGUGCUCGAGUGGCGAACGGGUGAGUAACACGUGAGUAACCUGCCCUUGACUUUGGGAUAACUUCAGGAAACUGGGGCUAAUACCGGAUAGGAGCUCCUGCUGCAUGGUGGGGGUUGGAGAGUUUCGGCGGUUGGGGCUGGACUCGCGGCUUAUCAGCUUGUUGGUGGGGUAGUGGCUUACCAAGGCUUUGACGGGUAGCCGGCCUGAGAGGGUGACCGGCCACAUUAGGACUGAGAUACGGCGCAGUCUCCAACGGUAGGCAGCAGUGGGGAAUAUGGCACAAUGGGCGGACGCCUGAUGCAGCAACGCCGCGUGCGGAAUGACGGCCUUCGGGUUGUAAACCGCUUUCGCCUGAGACGCAGCGUGAGUGACGGUAAUGGGUAAAGAAGCACCGGCUAACUACGUG
rnacentral:rRNA from 1 species